ACGGCUCAGUAACACGUGGACAACCUGCCCUUAGGUUGGGUAUAAACCCGGGAAACUGGGUAUAAUACCCGAUAGGUCUCGAUUGCUGGAAUGCAUCGAGAUUUAAAGCUCCGGCGCCUAAGGAUGGGUCUGCGGCCUAUCAGGUAGUAGUGGGUGUAGCGUACCUACUAGCCUACGACGGGUACGGGUUGUGGGAGCAAGAGCCCGGAGAUGGAUUCUGAGACACGAAUCCAGGCCCUACGGGGUGCAGCAGGCGCGAAAACUUUACAAUGCUGGCAACAGCGAUAAGGGAACCUCGAGUGCCAGGUUACAAAUCUGGCUGUCGAGAUGCCUAAAAAGCAUUUCAUAGCAAGGGCCGGGCAAGACCGGUGCCAGCCGCCGCGGUAACACCGGCGGCUCGAGUGGUAACCGUUAUUAUUGGGUCUAAAGGGUCUGUAGCCGGCCGGAUAAGUCUCUUGAGAAAUCUGGCAGCUUAACUGUCAGGCUUUCAGGAGAUACUGUCUGGCUCGAGGCCGGGAGAGGUGAGAGGUACUUCAGGGGUAGGGGUGAAAUCUUGUAAUCCUUGAAGGACCACCAGUGGCGAAGGCGUCUCACCAGAACGGACCUGACGGCAAGGGACGAAAGCUAGGGGCACGAACCGGAUUAGAUACCCGGGUAGUCCUAGCCGUAAACGAUACUCGCUAGGUGUCGGCCACGGUGCGACCGUUGUCGGUGCCGUAGGGAAGCCGUGAAGCGAGCCACCUGGGAAGUACGGCCGCAAGGCUGAAACUUAAAGGAAUUGGCGGGGGAGCAC
rnacentral:rRNA from 1 species